rnacentral:rRNA from 1 species
UGGGAAUAUUGGACAAUGGGCGGAAGCCUGAUCCAGCCAUGCCGCGUGUGUGAAGAAGGCCUUUUGGUUGUAAAGCACUUUAAGCGAGGAGGAGGCUACCUGGAUUAAUACUCUGGGAUAGUGGACGUUACUCGCAGAAUAAGCACCGGCUAACUCUGUGCCAGCAGCCGCGGUAAUACAGAGGGUGCGAGCGUUAAUCGGAUUUACUGGGCGUAAAGCGUGCGUAGGCGGCUGAUUAAGUCGGAUGUGAAAUCCCUGAGCUUAACUUAGGAAUUGCAUUCGAUACUGGUCAGCUAGAGUAUGGGAGAGGAUGGUAGAAUUCCAGGUGUAGCGGUGAAAUGCGUAGAGAUCUGGAGGAAUACCGAUGGCGAAGGCAGCCAUCUGGCCUAAUACUGACGCUGAGGUACGAAAGCAUGGGGAGCAAACAGGAUUAGAUACCCUGGUAGUCCAUGCCGUAAACGAUGUCUACUAGCCGUUGGGGCCUUUGAGGCUUUAGUGGCGCAGCUAACGCGAUAAGUAGACCGCCUGGGGAGUACGGUCGCAAGACU